rnacentral:lncRNA from 1 species
CAUGAACGAACUCUGGAAGGUUCACAAGGAACCAACUAAUAGUGUGUACUCAAGGGGUGGGAAACUUGGCUUACUGGAGUUCAGGAAUGCAAGGACGACUUUAUGAUUUGUGAACCACGUGAAGGGAUUACCUAUUCAAAGAAUUUAGAAGGAAUAUUCAGCGCUGAGCGAAACCACAUUGAGCACAGUGGGCAAAGGUAAAUGGAAAUGACUGAGGCAGAUCAGGAGGGGAAAGGGAAGGGAGCCAGGUGAACUGGGGCUCAGUGGAGAGCCCCUAAAUCUCAGGAGGCUUUCAGCUGUGGUUUCUAUCAGGACAACAGGGGAGUCCCAUGUGGCCAGCAUGAUGUCACUUAGUAGCACCAGCUCCUAUGACCCCCCAGGCCUGCCUGCUGGGCUCCAGACAUGGUAGUCCCCUUA